GUGGAAUAUUGACAUCUGACAUUUUUAAAGAAAUCACACACACAAGAAACAUGAAUGUGUGAGAGGAAAUUCAAGGCCAGAAUCCUUUGACGUCUAACCAUUUUGUAGGAAAACUUCUCCUGUGAAAUACAAUAGAACAUCCAGUUGGAACAAAGUUGCCGGAUAAUAUUUUUGACACAAAAGGGUAACAUACUUUUCAGAAUACGUGAUCUAUAUGUUUUGUCCUCAAUGACACUUGUGUGCUUCCAGAUUUUGAUUGCUUGGUAACACUGCUUGGCAUAAUAAGGAGUAGUACUUCCAGAAAAUGCUUAUGAGAGCAGACUGUUUGGGAGAGGAAUGGAGCCUUGAGCUUGAAGACUGAGCGUGAUGGCAAAAGUGACUCACCUCCUAAAGAUACCUGAACUCAGCACAAAAAUCUAAACAAAAUAUUAAACAGCAGCAACGGUAGCAUCCUAUGUUGCUUCUGCUGAGCAGAUGGAUUUGAAAGGAAAUGUGUUUAGCAAAUGCACAGUCCUUAAAUCUUCAUAGGAAAAUGACAGACUUUCCAUAGAGCUGGAAGGAAGGAGACUGCAGUAAGACUAGGUGAGUAUUAAGGAAAUGUAUCAUAUAUUUUUUCCAAUCCUUCUGCUUUUUCAU
rnacentral:lncRNA from 1 species